UACAGAGGCCUCGAGCGUUGUUCGGAAUUACUGGGCGUAAAGGGAAUGUAGGUGGUGACGUAAGUCAGAUGUGAAAGCCCUGGGCUUAACCCGGGAAGUGCAUUUGAUACUGCGUCGCUUGAGUACGAGAGAGGAAAGCGGAAUUUCCAGUGUAGGAGUGAAAUCCGUAGAUAUUGGAAGGAAUACCGAUGGCGAAGGCAGCUUUCUGGCUCGUAACUGACACUGAGAUUCGAAAGCGUGGGUAGCAAACAGG
rnacentral:rRNA from 1 species